UACGAAGGGGGCUAGCGUUGUUCGGAAUUACUGGGCGUAAAGGGCGCGUAGGCUGUGCUGUAAGUCAGGCGUGAAAGCCCCGGGCUCAACCUGGGAAUUGCGCUUGAUACUGCGGCGCUGGAAGGUGGGAGAGGAUGGCGGAAUUCCCAGUGUAGAGGUGAAAUUCGUAGAUAUUGGGAAGAACACCGGUGGCGAAGGCGGCCAUCUGGCCCAUUUUUGACGCUGAGGCGCGAAAGCGUGGGGAGCGAACAGG
rnacentral:rRNA from 1 species